GUGCAGCAGUAAGGGACACUUUAUUGCCAACUGUCCCGUGCGGCCAAAAGAUCUGGUCCGCCGGUAGUUACGGGAGCCCCGGCAGACCAAAAUCAGUCAGGUGAGAAAUCCCGUCCUACAAUCCCUGCCACCAUCAGGAUAAACGAAAGGACUGUUAAUAUCUCUGCUCUCAUUGACUCUGGGUGUGAACAACACAUUAUGGAUUCAGCGUUUGUUUUUUCUCAUGGCAUUAAAACUGUUCCUCUCCCCUCUCCUAUCAAGGUGUCAGCUCUGGGGGUCAGUCUCUUCCUCCCAUAACCCAUCGUACCGUUCCACUGGAGAUCAUCAUUUCUGGAAAUCACCGUGAAAGAAUUGAGUUCAACAUCUUUUCCACCCUGGCUACCCCCGUCGUCCUAGGUUUCAGUUGGCUGCAGAGACACAGUCCUCAAAUUAAUUGGAUCACACUCUCUGACUUCUGGUCCUCUCCUAGUCUCUCUUCCUGCCUCCAGUCUGCAGUCCCUCAAUGUACCCAGCCUAUAAAUGAGAAGGGGUAGACUCUUCCGAUCUGGCUGGAGUUCCAGAAGAAUACCUAGAUUUGAAGGGGGUAUUCAGCAAGAGUCGGGCACUUUCACUUCCUCCCCAUGGACCCUACGACUGUGCUAUCGAACUGCUCCCUGGGACCCCGCUACUCUCCAGUUGGCUAUACAAUCUCUCCAAGCCUGAGUGGGAGGCCAUGGCAAAAUACAUAAACGAGUCAUUGGCUGCAGGAAUCAUUCGUCCCUCCUCGUCACCCUUAGGAACAGGGUUUUUCUUUUUUUCAAAAAAAGACGGUUCACUCCGACCUUGUAUUGACUUCAGAGGCUUGAAUAACAUCACCAUAAAAAAUAAAUAUCCACUUCCCUUAAUUUCAUCUGGUUUCGAGCCAGUACAGGGAUCUACCAUUUUUACCAAACUUGACCUCUGGAAUGCAUAUCAUCUUGUUCGUAUCAGACAAGGGGACGAGUGGAAAACUGCCUUCUGCACUCCACUCGGCCAUUUUGAGUAUCUUGUAAUGCCUUUUGGGCUCCCUAAUGCGCCUGCUGUGUUUCAGGCAUUAGUAAACGACGUUCUUCGUGACUUCCUGGAUAUUUUAGUUUUUGUUUAUUUGGAUGAUAUUUAGACUUUUUCUAAGACUUUACAUGAAUAUCGUACACACGUCUGUCUAGUUCUCCAACGUCUCUUAGAGAACAGACUGUACGUGAAGGCAGAGAAGUGUGGCUUCCACCUCAAGUCGGUGCCUUUCCUGGGCUACAUCUUCGAGGACGGACAGGUGAGAGCUGAACCCGAAAGAAUCAAGGCAGUUGUAAAUUGGCCGGUUCUGGAGAACCGUAAGCAGCUACAACGUUUUCUGGGAUUUGCCAACUUCUACCAGAGGUUUAUAAGAAAUUAGUCAGGUUGCCGCACCUUUGACCGCCCUAACGUCCACCAAACCCGCCUACUCCUGGACCCCCGCAGCUCAAGCAGCCUUUCUUGAGCUCAAGACACAUUAUUCCACGGCCCCCCAUUUUGACCCAGCUUCAGCCAUCCAAACAGUUCUUUUUAGAAGUUGAUGCUUCAGACUCUGGAGUGGGGGCAGUACUUUUGCAGCGCUCCAGUCCUGACCACAAGCUUCACCCCUGUGCCUUUUUUUCCCAUCGUCUUAUUCCCACUGAACGCAAUUAUGACGUGGGGGAUCGGGAGUUAUUGGCUAUAAAGUUAACCUUGGAGGAAUGGUGCCACUUACUUGAGGGGUCAGAAACCCCAGUACAGAUCUUUACCGACCAUAAAAACCUUUCAUAUCUGCAAUCAGCCAAAUGUCUUAACUCCAGGCAGUCUAGGUGGUCAUUGUUCUUCUCACGUUUCAAUUUCAACAUAACUUAUCACCCAGGUUCAGAAAAUACCAAACCUGGGCGGGGUGCUGAUGGUGUAGGGGCGAAAGCGCGCAACCAUGUGCAGAGGCUAGUCCUCGAAGCGGCUGUCCCGGGUUUGAGUCCCGGACCUGGCGACAUUUGCCGAAUGUCUCCCCCUCUCUCUACCCCUCUUUCCUGUCUGCCUACUGUCAAAGAAAAAUACAAAAAUAAAGGCCACUAGUGCCAAAAACAUCUUAAAAAAAAAAAAAACCAAACCAGACUCCUUGUCCCGGUUAUACUCCUCGAACCGGCUGAACCCAUCCUACCGCCUCACUGCAUUGUUGGAAGCCUAACAUGGGAGGUUGAAGAUUGGGUCAAACAGGCCCUGUAAUCAGAACCUGACCCCGGUACGGGACCACCUAAUUGUACCUACGUUCCAUCCUCUAUCGUGCUAAACUUAUUCAUUGGUUCCAUACCGCCAAAUUUACCUGCCACCCAGGAGUAAGCCGCACCAUUGCCCUCGUUACCUGCCGAUUCUGGUGGCCAUCUCUUCACCAUGAUGUCAGGGCAUUCAUACUUGCUUGUUCCAUCUGUGCCAGAAACAAGACUGGGACUCAGCCUCCAUCAGGGUUAUUACAACCCCUUCCUAUCCCCAAGAGGCCCUGGUCCCACAUCGCCCUAGACUUUGUGACCGGCCUGCCAAAGUCAAGAGGUAUGACCACCAUUGUUACGAUUAUUGAUCGUUUUUCUAAAGCCUGCCAUCUUGUCGCCCUCAGAAAACUGCCCACAGCGCUUCAAACUGCCCAGAUCCUCAUUACACAUGUUUUCGGUCUCCACGGCAUUCCACAGGACAUUGUCUCCGACCGGGGACCGCAGUUCACUGCCCAGAUAUGGAAACAGUUUUGCUCAGCCUUGAAUGCCUCUGUCAGUCUCUCCUCUGGUUUCCACCCCCAAUCCAAUGGUCAGACGGACCAAAUGAACCAGGAGCUCGAGGCCGCUCUUAGUUGUGUGACUUCAUCAGCUCCCUGGGAUUGGAGUACCCACCUUCCUUGGAUUGAGUACGCUCAUACCUCACAUGUGUCAGCUACUACUGGGUUCACCCCUUUCAAGCCUCACUGGGGUACCAGCCCCUUCUGUUUACAGCUGAUGAGAAUAAUGCCUCAGUCACCUCGGUUCCACAUUACAUCAGAUGCUGCAAGCGCUUUUGGCAACUUACCACCGCAACGCUUCAUUGCUCCGCAGCCACUAAUUGCCGCCUAGCCGACCGGAGAAGAGUUCAAGCCCCCCAUUACUCCCCUGGACAACAGGUAUGGCUCUCCACCCGUCACAUUCCGCUGAAACCAGCGUCCGGCAAGCUCUCCCCCAGAUUCAUUGGUCCCUACGUCAUUGAAACAGUACUCAGUCCCACCGAAGUCCGCCUCCGGCUCCCGCCACACCAACAUAUUCACUCCACAUUCCAUGUCUCCCAUGUAAAACAUGUCCGUUCCAGCACUCUGUGCCCUCCUUCCAAGCCCCCACCGCCCGCCCGGGACGUGGAAGGGCACCCUGCCUAUGCUGUCCGACGUAUCCUAGGGUCCCGUCGCCGCGGCCGGGGAUGGCAGUAUAUGGUCGACUGAAAGGGGUAUGGCCCGGAAGAACGCUCCUGGAUCCCUGGGUCCUUCAUUCUCAACAAAUCCCUCAUCCGGGAUUUUGAGGCUUCCCAAUGAGCAGGUUCAGUUGGAGGGUGGAGCUGCGCGCUGCCUCUCACACCCGUGAGUCGUUAGGCUCGUUAUGGCAGCUUCUUAAGGAGAGGGUUGCUAAGCAUUUGACGCUUGAGUGUCGUCAUUUGUGGUACCUCAAGCCCUGUAUCCUGGUCUUGGUUAACAAGCUCUCUGAGAUCUUCUUGUGACCUAGGUCUGUUCCUUUUUAAGGUGCCUUCCUUGAUCCUUCUGGUGGUUCCUGUGCAACCUGUUCUCACUCUCCUUCUGAAGUUCCCCAUUUGGAUUGCAGGCUUACCAUCACCGGGUUCUAGACGCUGAGCUGCCAAACCUGUCCGCCCUCCAACGAACUGCUUACCUUUUGGAAACAUGGACCUUCCAUCCAAGAACUGACCACCCCUCCCGGACUCCCUUCCUGCCAGCAACAAGGACGUUCCGCCGGAGCCGCCCUGAAUUCCUCAUUCAUGUCAUAUCCCUUCUGAAUAAAUCUCUUAAAACUUCAUUUGAUUCCUGAAGGUUUCUGCAUGUGGGUCAAGAAGCGUGGUAAAACGAUGACACAUUUACACUUUAGGACACCCAUUAAUUGUAACAGGGGCUGAGAUAAUUUCUGAACAUGUGCAGAUGUAUAAUUAAAUUCAACUGAAAACUGUUAGACUCUGUCUCUGAUUCCAUAUUUAUCUAUAAAAGGAGAGUUUAUACCCUUCAGGGAGAUCAAAUCUUCACAGGCCAAAACCACACAAUGCAUCAUCUG